rnacentral:rRNA from 1 species
UGGGGAAUAUUGCACAAUGGGCGAAAGCCUGAUGCAGCAACGCCGCGUGAGUGAUGAAGGUCUUCGGAUUGUAAAGCUCUGUCUUUUGGGACGAUAAUGACGGUACCAAAGGAGGAAGCCACGGCUAACUACGUGCCAGCAGCCGCGGUAAUACGUAGGUGGCGAGCGUUGUCCGGAUUUACUGGGCGUAAAGGGUGCGUAGGCGGAUGUUUAAGUGAGAUGUGAAAUACCCGGGCUUAACUUGGGUGCUGCAUUUCAAACUGGAUAUCUAGAGUGCAGGAGAGGAGAAUGGAAUUCCUAGUGUAGCGGUGAAAUGCGUAGAGAUUAGGAAGAACACCAGUGGCGAAGGCGAUUCUCUGGACUGUAACUGACGCUGAGGCACGAAAGCGUGGGUAGCAAACAGGAUUAGAUACCCUGGUAGUCCACGCCGUAAAACGAUGAGUACUAGGUGUAGGAGGUAUCGACCCCUUCUGUGCCGCAGUAAACACAU